UACGGGGGGGGCUAGCGUUAUUCGGAAUCAUUGGGCGUAAAGGGCGCGUAGGCGGCGCGGUAAGUCAAAGGUGAAAUCCCUCGGCUCAACUGAGGAACUGCCUUUGAAACUGCCGUGCUUGAGUCCGGGAGGGGGUAGCGGAAUUCCCAGUGUAGCGGUGAAAUGCGUAGAUAUUGGGAGGAACACCAGUGGCGAAGGCGGCUACCUGGACCGGUACUGACGCUGAUGCGCGAAAGCGUGGGGAGCGAACAGG
rnacentral:rRNA from 1 species